rnacentral:rRNA from 1 species
CAGCAGCCGCGGGAAUACGAAGGGUGCAAGCGUUAAUCGGAAUUACUGGGCGUAAAGCGCGCGUAGGUGGUUUGGUAAGAUGGAUGUGAAAUCCCCGGGCUCAACCUGGGAACUGCAUCCAUAACUGCCUGACUAGAGUACGGUAGAGGGUGGUGGAAUUUCCUGUGUAGCGGUGAAAUGCGUAGAUAUAGGAAGGAACACCAGUGGCGAAGGCGACCACCUGGACUGAUACUGACACUGAGGUGCGAAAGCGUGGGGAGCAAACAGGAUUAGAUACCCCCGUAGUCCCUGUCUCUUAUAC